rnacentral:lncRNA from 1 species
CCCAUUUUCCCGUCUGUAAAAUGAGGGCAUUGGGUUAGAUGCCCUUUACAGUUCUCCAGAAGCCUCCAAACCCAGGCCAAUCUGUGAAGGGGCACAUCACAUCUGGUCCCUUAGUUGGUAUGACCUGGAACCUGUCUUAUCAACGUGGAUAGGGAUCAUCUGACCUGGAAGGCAUCAUCAUUUACAGAAGAGAAAAUCAAGGCCCUGACUUCACAGGCCUCGGUUCAACACUUUGUCCACAACUUUGCAUUUCUCUCCAACAAGUAGCCCUAGUUGGUGGAGAUGAACAGGAAGGGAGGGGAAAUGGGUCUGCUUAG